rnacentral:rRNA from 1 species
UACGUAGGGACCGAGCGUUGUCCGGAAUCAUUGGGCGUAAAGAGCGUGUAGGCGGCUCGAUAAGUCUGCUGUGAAAGUCCAGGGCUCAACCCUGGAAGGCCGGUGGAAACUGUCGGGCUAGAGUCCGGAAGAGGCGAGUGGAAUUCCCGGUGUAGCGGUGAAAUGCGCAGAUAUCGGGAGGAACACCAAUGGCGAAGGCAGCUCGCUGGGACGGUACUGACGCUGAGACGCGAAAGCGUGGGGAGCAAACAGG